AUUGAACGCUGGCGGCAUGCCUAACACAUGCAGGUCGAACGGGGCGCUUCGGCGCCUAGUGGCGGACGGGUGAGUAAAGCGUAGGAAUCUGCCUUGUAGUGGGGGACAACCUGGGGAAACUCAGGCUAAUACCGCAUACGCUCGCGAGAGGAAAGCGGGGGAUCUUCGGACCUCGCGCCGCAAGAAGAGCCUACGUCCGAUUAGCUAGUUGGUAGGGUAAAAGCCUACCAAGGCGACGAUCGGUAGCUGGUCUGAGAAGAUGAUCAGCCACACUGGGACUGAGACACGGCCCAGACUCCUACGGGAGGCAGCAGUGGGGAAUAUUGGACAAUGGGCGCAAGCCUGAUCCAGCAAUGCCGCGUGGGUGAAGAAGGCCUGCGGGUUGUAAAGCCCUUUAAGUGGGGAGGAACGGCGGGAUGCGAACAGUGUCCUGCUCUGACGUUACCCACAGAAUAAGCACCGGCUAACUCCGUG
rnacentral:rRNA from 1 species